rnacentral:rRNA from 1 species
AUUGAACGCUAGCGGGAUGCUUUACACAUGCAAGUCGAACGAGUGGCGGACGGGUGAGUAAUAUAUCGGAACGUGCCCAGUGGCGGGGGAUAACUACUGGAAAGAGUGGCUAAUACCGCGUACUAUUGGAGCGGCCGAAAGGGGAUUAGCUAGUUGGUGGGGUAAAGGCUCACCAAGGCAACGAUCCGUAGCUGGUUUGAGAGGACGACCAGCCACACGGGGACUGAGACACGGCCCAGACUCCUACGGGAGGCAGCAGUGGGGAAUUUUGGGCAAUGGGGGCAACCCUGACCCAGCCAUCCCGCGUGUAUGAGAAGGCCUUCGGGUUGUAAAGUACUUUCGGUAGAGAAGCGGUAUCUGCAGAAUAAGCACCGGCUAACUCCGUGCCAGCAGCCGCGGUAAUUC